UGAAGUCGGAAUUGCUAGUAAUGGCAGGUCAGCAUACUGCCGUGAAUACGUUCCCGGGCCUUGUACACACCGCCCGUCACACCAUGAGAGUUGGGAAUACCCGAAGCCUGUGAGCCAACAAACGAGGCAGCAGUCGAAGGUAGAAUCAAUGAUUGGGGUGAAGUCGUAACAAGGUACC
rnacentral:rRNA from 1 species